rnacentral:lncRNA from 1 species
GAUUAGGGAAAAAUGUCUGCAAUGACUCGUUAAGGGGGUGAUAAUAAAUAAAAGGUUGACAAACACUGAUGUAGACCCAUUUCAUUUAUAAAGUUUUUCCUUUUUUUGCAGAAUUCUUUUUUGUUUCAUAUGAAAUCACAUGCUAAACACUAAUACAUACAACAGGUAAAAACAGCGUUGGUUUAAAUGCCAGUGGGGAGAUGGGCCAGAAACAUGCCAUUUCUGAUGACUUUCCCUCACCUUCUGUGGCAGCCGUUGAGGUACUGAUAUGAAGCUUAGAGCUCUGAGCAUCUUAGUUGGAAUAGCUGAGAAACACAAUUUAACCUCUUCAUUAUACAGAUGAGUAAACUGAGGCGAGCUUGUAAUGUGUAAGCAUGAACUCUUACGGUGAUUUUAUUAUUCACACAAAGUGGAACUGAAUCAGGCUUUCUAUCUAGGGGCAGACUCUGGAGGAGAGACACACAGAAGAUGGGAAAAGAGAGAGAAAAGCCAGAGCAGAGGGCAGGUAAAGAAUGUUUAAAGAGAUGAUGAGAAAAAUAAGUGAGAUGUUAAAGAAAUAUACUCAUCACAAGAAAAAAAAAAAUGGGGGGGGGGACUGUGCAUAGUGACUAAAUGUGGUGAACAUUUCACAAUAUCUACAAAUAUCUAAUCACUAUGUUGUAUACCUGAAACUAUACAAUGUGAUAGGUCCGUGAGAUCUCAAAAGAUAAAUUAAUUUGAAAAUGGAUACUGUCCUCAGCAGCUGCAAAUGGAGAGGCCAUGGUUUCAGGACAGUGUAUGGGUAGAGCUUGGUUGCACAGGAAACUGGAUAUUUCAGACACCAUCAGCAAAUAGCAGCAAUUUAAACCAACACAGACAAGCAGGUGGAAAAUGUGGAAGGACCCAGGCCGCAAAGCCAGCAGGGUAAGCAACACUAGUAUAUUUUGCUACUGAAGGUUUGAAAUGAAGGUGCCAAGUCAGUGCUAAUGGCCAGGUAAUUAUUCUGAAACCCUGUGAUUAAGUACGAAGUGCUAUAGAACUUUUGUAAAAUGAGGUACGCCUCCACUGCAGUAAGGUGGUAAAGCAAUGGAGAAAGUGGUCAAGCCACAUAAAUUAGGCCUUGAAUUAGGCUUGCAAUUAUGUUUCUUUUCCUAAUCCACUGACUCCUUGGAAAGCAUGCACAGCAAAGCACUGAAUUUGUAAUCUUUUUGGUAGUGUUUCUGUAGAACUACAAAACUUCUUUUGUAGAACUCGGAUUUGUUGAGAAAUUUGUAGAAAGAGGGAAAUGCAGUGUUUUUUGUUGUUUGUUCCUGGUUCUCUGCCUCUGUAUUAAUUUGAGGGAGAGAAGGAAAAUGCAUGUGAUAGGAGAGAAUAAAAAAAGUGGAAGACAUGUAGUGGGAAGGGAAUAUUUUAUUACUUAAAGUAAAAAAAAUUAAAAUCAUCCUAAAAGAAUAUUAAUUAUUUCAUUUUUCCCUACCAGCAUUUAAUAGCUCAUUGUGGUCUCAAUGCCACUAAAUUAAGAUUUUUGAGGAAUGGAAAGAGUUAAGGGAGAGAUCUCCAAAGUUCCUAUAUUUCUAUUAAUUUGUAUAUUUUGUUAAAAACUGAAUAUAAAACAUAUCUGACAAACAGAAAAUUAUAGAAAAUAGUAAAAUAGACACAAAUAUACCCACCACUGAGAUGAAAUACUUGUUGAUAUUUUCCUAGAUUGACUUAAGAUCUUUCCCUUUUAUUUUUUAUUUUUUUAAAGA